rnacentral:tRNA from 1 species
GCCGGCCUAGUAUAGUGGUUAGUACAGUUCGUUGUGGCCGAACAAACCCGGGUUCGAUUCCAGGGACCGGCA